AGAGUUUGAUCCUGGCUCAGGACGAACGCUGGCGGCGUGCCUAAUACAUGCAAGUCGAACGAGGACCGGGUGCUUGCAUCCGGAGCCGAGUGGCGAACGGGUGAGUAACACGUGACCAAUCUACCCUAGGGAGGGGGAUAACCUGGGGAAACCCGGGCUAAUACCGCGUGAUGUGCAGCCAUCGCAUGGCGGCUGUACCAAAGAGGGCCUCUACUAGUAAGCUCUCGCCCAGGGAGGAGGUCGCGGCGUAUCAGCUGGUUGGUGGGGUAACGGCCUACCAAGGCGACGACGCGUAGCGGGUCUGAGAGGACGAUCCGUCACAUAGGGACUGAGAUACGGCCCAGACUUCUACGGAAGGCAGCAGUAGGGAAUAUAGCGCAAUGGUCGAAAGACUGACGCANCGACGCCGCGUGUGGGAGGAAGCCUUACGGGGUGUAAACCACUGUCAGAGGGGAAGAACCACCCACCUCCAAACAGGUAGUGC
rnacentral:rRNA from 1 species